UACGGAGGUGCGAGCGUUGUCCGGAAUCACUGGGCGUAAAGGGCGCGUAGGUGGCCGAGCAAGGUCGCGGUGAAAGCCCGGGGCUCAACCCCGGGUCGGCCGUGGCAACUACUGGGCUGGAGCACUGUAGGGGCAGAUGGAAUUCCGGGUGUAGCGGUGGAAUGCGUAGAGAUCCGGAAAGAACACCGGUGGCGAAGGCGGUCUGCUGGGCAGUUGCUGACACUGAGGCGCGACAGCGUGGGGAGCAAACAGG
rnacentral:rRNA from 1 species